GGUGAGGUAGCUCAAUCGGUCAGAGCUUCCGACUUAUGUUUUAGUAGUUUAAAAGUAAAACUUCUAAUACAAGUGCAAGACUUGUCUAAAACACCAAAUCGGAGGGUUGAGAGUUCGAGCCUCUCUCUCACCA
rnacentral:tRNA from 1 species